AAUCCAUGCAUCGAACAUUUUCGAAUUAACUCCUUAAAUUAUUUCCAAUCUUCAUAUAGCAUUUCGUCCUCCAUUUGUAAAAAAAAUGUGAUGUCAUUUCUAAGUCU
rfam:Gossypium raimondii Chr12_contig_438, whole genome shotgun sequence.